rnacentral:rRNA from 1 species
CCUGCAUGAAGUUGGAAUUGCUAGUAAUCGCGAAUCAGAAUGUCGCGGUGAAUACGUUCCCGGGCCUUGUACACACCGCCCGUCACACCAUGAGAGUCGAUAACACCCGAAGCCUGUGAGCUAACCGUAAGGAGGCAGCAGUCGAAGGUGGGGUUGAUGAUUGGGGUGAAGUCGUAACAAGGUAAC